UACGUAGGUGGCAAGCGUUGUUCGGAUUUACUGGGCGUAAAGGGCGCGUAGGCGGCGUGACAAGUCACUUGUGAAAUCUCUGAGCUUAACUCAGAACGGCCAAGUGAAACUGUUGUGCUAGAGUGCAGAAGGGGCAAUCGGAAUUCUUGGUGUAGCGGUGAAAUGCGUAGAUAUCAAGAGGAACACCUGAGGUGAAGACGGGUUGCUGGGCUGACACUGACGCUGAGGCGCGAAAGCCAGGGGAGCAAACGGG
rnacentral:rRNA from 1 species